rnacentral:rRNA from 1 species
CGCGGCCUAUCAGCUUGUUGGUGGGGUAGUGGCUUACCAAGGCUUUGACGGGUAGCCGGCCUGAGAGGGUGACCGGCCACAUUGGGACUGAGAUACGGCCCAGACUCCUACGGGAGGCAGCAGUGGGGAAUAUUGCACAAUGGGCGGAGGCCUGAUGCAGCAACGCCGCGUGCGGGAUGACGGCCUUCGGGUUGUAAACCGCUUUCGCCUGUGACGAAGCGUGAGUGACGGUAAUGGGUAAAGAAGCACCGGCUAACUACGUGCCAGCAGCCGCGGUGAUACGUAGGGUGCGAGCGUUGUCCGGAUUUAUUGGGCGUAAAGGGCUCGUAGGUGGUUGAUCGCGUCGGAAGUGUAAUCUUGGGGCUUAACCCUGAGCGUGCUUUCGAUACGGGUUGACUUGAGGAAGGUAGGGGAGAAUGGAAUUCCUGGUGGAGCGGUGGAAUGCGCAGAUAUCAGGAGGAACACCAGUGGCGAAGGCGGUUCUCUGGGCCUUUCCUGACGCUGAGGAGCGAAAGCGUGGGGAGCGAACAGGCUUAGAUACCCUGGUAGUCCACGCUGUAAACGGUGGGUACUAGGUGUGGGGUCCAUUCCACGGGUUCCGUGCCGUAGCUAACGCUUUAAGUACCCCGCCUGGGGAGUACGG